rnacentral:rRNA from 1 species
GAUGAACGCUAGCGGCAGGCUUAACACAUGCAAGUCGAGGGGCAGCAUGACGGAACUUUCGGGUUCUGUUGAUGGCGACCGGCGCAAGGGUGCGUAACGCGUGAGCAACUUGCCCGUUUCUGGGGAAUAACCGGUGGAAACGCCGACUAAUACUCCAUGGCACAUUUGUGAGGCAUCUUACAGAUGUUAAAGAUUUAUCGGAAACGGAUAGGCUCGCGUGACAUUAGCUAGAUGGCGGGGUAACGGCCACCAUGGCGACGAUGUCUAGGGGUUCUGAGAGGAAGGUCCCCCACACUGGAACUGAGACACGGUCCAGACUCCUACGGGAGGCAGCAGUGAGGAAUAUUGGUCAAUGGUCGGAAGACUGAACCAGCCAUGCCGCGUGAAGGUCACGGCCCUAUGGGUCUUAAACUUCUUUUGCAAGGGAGCAAUAAGGUUCACGUGUGGACUGAUGAGAGUACCUUGCGAAUAAGCAUCGGCUAACUCCGUGCCAG